rnacentral:rRNA from 1 species
CCUACGGGUGGCAGCAGUGGGGAAUAUUGCACAAUGGGGGAAACCCUGAUGCAGCGACGCCGCGUGAGUGAAGAAGUAAUUCGUUACGUAAAGCUCUAUCAGCAGGGAAGAAAUUCUGACCUUACGGUCAGCAGACGGUACCUGAGUAAGAAGCUCCGGCUAACUACGUGCCAGCAGCCGCGGUAAUACGUAGGGGGCAAGCGUUAUCCGGAUUUACUGGGUGUAAAGGGAGCGUAGGCGGUGCGUCAAGUCUGGUGUGAAAGGCCGGAGCUUAACGGUGGAACUGCUUUGGAGACUGGCGAACUAGAGUGCGGGAGGGGUAAGCGGAAUUCCUGGUGUAGCGGUGAAAUGCGUAGAUAUUAGGAGGAACACCGGUGGCGAAGGCGGGUUACUGGACCGUAACUGACGUUGAGGCUCGAAAGCGUGGGGAGCGAACAGGAUUAGAUACCCUAGUAGUC